rnacentral:rRNA from 1 species
AGAGUUUGAUCAUGGCUCAGAUUGAACGCUGGCGGCAGGCCUAACACAUGCAAGUCGAGCGGAUGAAGGGAGCUUGCUCCUGGAUUCAGCGGCGGACGGGUGAGUAAUGCCUAGGAAUCUGCCUGGUAGUGGGGGAUAACGUCCGGAAACGGGCGCUAAUACCGCAUACGUCCUGAGGGAGAAAGUGGGGGAUCUUCGGACCUCACGCUAUCAGAUGAGCCUAGGUCGGAUUAGCUAGUUGGUGGGGUAAAGGCCUACCAAGGCGACGAUCCGUAACUGGUCUGAGAGGAUGAUCAGUCACACUGGAACUGAGACACGGUCCAGACUCCUACGGGAGGCAGCAGUGGGGAAUAUUGGACAAUGGGCGAAAGCCUGAUCCAGCCAUGCCGCGUGUGUGAAGAAGGUCUUCGGAUUGUAAAGCACUUUAAGUUGGGAGGAAGGGCAGUAAGUUAAUACCUUGCUGUUUUGACGUUACCAACAGAAUAAGCACCGGCGAACUUCGUGCCAGCAGCCGCGGUAAUACGAAGGGUGCAAGCGUUAAUCGGAAUUACUGGGCGUAAAGCGCGCGUAGGUGGUUCAGCAAGUUGGAUGUGAAAUCCCCGGGCUCAACCUGGGAACUGCAUCCAAAACUACUGAGCUAGAGUACGGUAGAGGGUGGUGGAAUUUCCUGUGUAGCGGUGAAAUGCGUAGAUAUAGGAAGGAACACCAGUGGCGAAGGCGACCACCUGGACUGAUACUGACACUGAGGUGCGAAAGCGCGGGGAGCAAACAGGAUUAGAUACCCUGGUAGUCCACGCCGUAAACGAUGUCGACUAGCCGUUGGGAUCCUUGAGAUCUUAGUGGCGCAGCUAACGCGAUAAGUCGACCGCCUGGGGAGUACGGCCGCAAGGUUAAAACUCAAAUGAAUUGACGGGGGCCCGCACAAGCGGUGGAGCAUGUGGUUUAAUUCGAAGCAACGCGAAGAACCUUACCUGGCCUUGACAUGCUGAGAACUUUCCAGAGAUGGAUUGGUGCCUUCGGGAACUCAGACACAGGUGCUGCAUGGCUGUCGUCAGCUCGUGUCGUGAGAUGUUGGGUUAAGUCCCGUAACGAGCGCAACCCUUGUCCUUAGUUACCAGCACCUCGGGUGGGCACUCUAAGGAGACUGCCGGUGACAAACCGGAGGAAGGUGGGGAUGACGUCAAGUCAUCAUGGCCCUUACGGCCAGGGCUACACACGUGCUACAAUGGUCGGUACAAAGGGUUGCCAAGCCGCGAGGUGGAGCUAAUCCCAUAAAACCGAUCGUAGUCCGGAUCGCAGUCUGCAACUCGACUGCGUGAAGUCGGAAUCGCUAGUAAUCGUGAAUCAGAAUGUCACGGUGAAUACGUUCCCGGGCCUUGUACACACCGCCCGUCACACCAUGGGAGUGGGUUGCUCCAGAAGUAGCUAGUCUAACCGCAAGGGGGACGGUUACCACGGAGUGAUUCAUGACUGGGGUGAAGUCGUAACAAGGUAGCCGUAGGGGAACCUGCGGCUG